CCUACGGGAGGCAGCAGUAGGGAAUCUUCCACAAUGGGCGCAAGCCUGAUGGAGCAACACCGCGUGAGUGAAGAAGGGUUUCGGCUCGUAAAGCUCUGUUGUUGGAGAAGAACGUGCGUGAGAGUAACUGCUCACGCAGUGACGGUAUCCAACCAGAAAGUCACGCCUAACUACGUGCCAGGAGCCGCGGUAAUACGGAGGGGGCAAGCGUUAUCCGGAUUUAUUGGGUGUAAAGCGAGCGCAGACGGUUGAUUAAGUCUGAUGUGAAAGCCUGGGGCUUAACCGAAGAAGUGCAUCGGAAACCGGGGAACUUGAGUGCAGAAGAGGACAGUGGAACUCCAUGUGUAGCGGUGGAAUGCGUAGAUAUAUGGAAGAACACCAGUGGCGAAGGCGGCUGUCUGGUCUGCAACUGACGCUGAGGCUCGAAAGCAUGGGUAGCGAACAGGAUUAGAUACCCGAGUAGUC
rnacentral:rRNA from 1 species